rnacentral:rRNA from 1 species
UACGGGGGGGGCAAGCGUUGUUCGGAAUUACUGGGCGUAAAGGGUUCGUAGGUGGCUCGCUAAGCCAGACGUGAAAUCCCUCAGCUUAACUGGGGAACUGCGUCUGGGACUGGAGAGCUGGAGUGCAAGAGAGGAAUGCGGAAUUCCAGGUGUAGCGGUGAAAUGCGUAGAUAUCUGGAGGAACACCGGUGGCGAAGGCGGCAUUCUGGACUGCAACUGACACUGAGGAACGAAAGCCAGGGGAGCAAACGGG